UACGGAGGGUGCAAGCGUUAUCCGGAAUCACUGGGCGUAAAGGGCGCGUAGGUGGUCUGUUAAGUCUGGCGUUAAAGCCUGGGGCUCAACACCAGAUCAGCGUUGGAUACUGGCAGGCUAGACGGUUGGAGAGGCGAGUGGAAUUACCAGUGUAGCGGUGGAAUGCGUAGAUACUGGUAGGAACACCCAUUGCGAAGGCAGCUCGCUGGACAACACGUGACACUGAGGCGCGAAAGUGUGGGGAGCAAACCGGAUUAGAUACCCG
rnacentral:rRNA from 1 species